rnacentral:RNase_P_RNA from 1 species
CGAUCGCGGCCGCGCAAGCGGUCGAGGAAAGUCCGGACUCCGCAGGGCGGAGGACGGGGCUGCAAUGGCCCCGGGGGUCGGGGCGAACCCGGCCGACGGAAAGUGCCACAGAGACUAGACUGCCGGUUGACGCCGGCAACAGGUGAAAGCGGGUGGGGCAAGAGCCCACCGGGGCGGUGAACAGCCGCCCGCAUCGGCAAACCCUCCUCGGAGCAAGAUCAAAUAGGGGGCUCGACGGGCGGCCCGUCCGGCGCCAGAGGCGACUUUGGCUAGGGCCCCGGGUUGAUUGCUCAGAUGAAUGAUCGGAUAAAACAGAAUCCGGCUUACUC